rnacentral:rRNA from 1 species
GAUGAACGCUGGCGGCGUGCCUAAUACAUGCAAGUCGAGCGAACGGACGAGAAGCUUGCUUCUCUGAUGUUAGCGGCGGACGGGUGAGUAACACGUGGAUAACCUACCUAUAAGACUGGGAUAACUUCGGGAAACCGGAGCUAAUACCGGAUAAUAUUUUGAACCGCAUGGUUCAAAAGUGAAAGACGGUCUUGCUGUCACUUAUAGAUGGAUCCGCGCUGCAUUAGUUAGUUGGUAAGGUAACGGCUUACCAAGGCAACAAUGCAUAGCCGACCUGCGAGGGUGUACGGCCACUGUGGGACUGGGCCGCGGUACUGAGACCUAGGGGAGGCCGAGGUACGUAAGCGUGCGAGAUGGGGGGAAGCCUGACGGAAGGGCGCAGGGUGAGUGAAGAGGGUCCUCGGGUCGUAAGACUGUGUUAGUAGGGAAGAACAUAUGUGUAAGUAACUGUGCACAUCUUGACGGUACCUAGUCAGGAAGCCACGGCUAACUACGUG